GAUGAACGCUAGCGGCAGGCUUAAUACAUGCAAGUCGUGGGGCAGCAGGAGUAGCAAUACUUGCUGGCGACCGGCAAACGGGUGCGGAACACGUACGCAACCUUCCUUCAGGCGGGGAAUAGCCCAGAGAAAUUUGGAUUAAUACCCCAUAAUAUUAUGGGAUGGCAUCAUUUUAUAAUUAAAGCUUCGGCACCUGAUGAUGGGCGUGCGCCUGAUUAGGUAGUUGGCGGGGUAACGGCCCACCAAGCCUACGAUCAGUAGCUGUUGUGAGGGCAUGAUCAGCCAAACGGGCAGGGAGCCACGGGCCCGACUCCUACGGGAGGCAGCAGUAAGGAAUAUUGGUCAAUGAACGCAAGUCUGACCCAGCCAUGCCGCGUGGAGGAUGAAGGUCCUCUGGAUUGUAAACUUCUUUUAUCUGGGACGAAAAAAGAUUUUUCUAAGUCACUUGACGGUACCAGAUGAAUAAGCACCGGCUAACUCCGUGCCAGCCGCCGCCGUAACAC
rnacentral:rRNA from 1 species